ACCUAUCGCCGAACCCGAGCUUCUCUUCUUCCCCGUUCCCUUUCUCUGUUCUCUCUCGCGGAUGAGCAACGACGACGGGAGCAGGGCUCCAGCUCCGGCGAUCCUUCCUCUGCCGGCUUCGACACCUCAAGCUCAGAUCCAAUCGGUGUUUCUCCUCUCUAGACUGUAAUCGGCCGAGGAGUUGCUGUUCGGCGGAUCUUGCGGCCGAUCACCAAAGGUGCUGCAGUUAGGGCACGGUGAAGGACCAGAUCUCGCGUUGACUCCCAUCCAAUCGUCCACCGAAGCUUGGAGAGGUGCCCUAGUCGGAUUUGUUCCACUCGAUUCGCCGGCGUGGGUCAGGUCUUGGAUUCCCUUCCUUAUUGAUUGUUGAUUUGAGGAUCAGAGGAAUCUUUGGUACGCUGCUUCACGGAUUCGAUCGGGUUGUGCGACAUCUUCUGGAGACUCGAGGUAAGACUUCAUCGGGAAAUUUGAGGGGGAUCAAGGAGGAUCUUGUAAUCGAUUUUCCUCCGAUCAGAUCAUGGACUUGUUCAUUGUUGCCGAAUGAAGUCUCAAAUUGGAGUAUACUGGAAUCUAGCAGAGAGAUGCUUGCUCUGUGGUGUUCUCUGGUUCAGCAACUUCCCUUGUUGCCAGCAGCAAGUUUGACCCGAACAGAGGAGUAGAUUCCAGUAGGUUGUUCUGUUCUGUUGUGUGUUCCUGUUUUGACAGCAACCCCAUUCCAGGAGCUUGAUCGAGGACUCUGAUUCGAGACAGGCGACUCGACCUUGGAUUGCUUGAUCGUACCUUCUAUUUGAGG